rnacentral:rRNA from 1 species
AUGACUGCAAUUUUAGAGAGACGCGAAAGUACAAGCCUGUGGGGUCGCUUCUGCAACUGGAUAACUAGCACUGAAAAUCGUCUUUACAUCGGAUGGUUCGGUGUUUUGAUGAUCCCUACCUUAUUGACCGCAACUUCUGUAUUUAUUAUCGCCUUCAUCGCUGCCCCUCCAGUAGAUAUUGAUGGUAUUCGUGAGCCUGUUUCUGGUUCUUUACUUUAUGGAAACAAUAUUAUCUCUGGUGCUAUUAUCCCUACUUCUGCGGCGAUCGGAUUGCACUUUUACCCAAUUUGGGAAGCUGCAUCUGUUGAUGAGUGGUUAUAUAAUGGUGGUCCUUAUGAGCUAAUUGUUCUACACUUCUUACUUGGUGUAGCUUGUUAUAUGGGUCGUGAGUGGGAACUUAGUUUCCGUCUGGGUAUGCGUCCUUGGAUUGCUGUUGCAUAUUCAGCUCCUGUUGCAGCUGCUACUGCUGUUUUCUUGAUUUACCCUAUUGGUCAAGGAAGCUUUUCUGAUGGUAUGCCUUUAGGAAUCUCUGGUACUUUCAACUUUAUGAUUGUAUUCCAGGUAGAGCACAACAUCCUUAUGCAUCCAUUCCACAUGUUAGGUGUAGCUGGUGUAUUCGGCGGUUCCCUAUUCAGUGCUAUGCAUGGUUCCUUGGUAACCUCUAGUUUGAUCAGGGAAACUACUGAAAAUGAAUCUGCUAAUGAGGGUUACAAAUUUGGUCAAGAGGAAGAAACUUAUAAUAUUGUGGCUGCUCAUGGUUAUUUUGGCUGACUAAUCUUCCAAUAUGCUAGUUUCAACAACUCUCGUUCUUUACAUUUCUUCUUGGCUGCUUGGCCUGUAGUAGGAAUCUGGUUCACUGCUUUAGGUAUUAGUACUAUGGCUUUCGACCUAAAUGGUUUCAAUUUCAACCAAUCUGUAGUUGAUAGUCAAGGUCGCGUUAUUAAUACUUGGGCUGAUAUCAUCAACCGUGCUAACCUUGGUAUGGAAGUAAUGCAUGAACGUAAUGCUCACAACUUCCCUCUAGACUUAGCUGCUGUUGAAGUUCCAUCUAUUAAUGGAUAA